UUGCGUUACUAUAUACAACUGUUUUACAAUUCACUGAGCAGACGUCAACUACAGACGUCAACACAAGCUUAAUCGUUUCGAUUACAUCACCUACGGAGAGGAACCCUGAUAUAAGAUGAGGCUAUCGAACAUGCUCCGCCCUCCUGAACGGACGUUUAUCUUGUUGGCCGGCCUUUCCUUCCUGGCGGGGAACUACGCCACAACUCCUGCGCAGAACAUGAUACUGACUGACAGUGACAACUCAUGUGCGGUUGAAGAUAAUGGAUAACUCUUCCCGAGCGUGAAGUCGGUGGAAAUAUGGGUCAAGUCUACGUUUUCGACCACAUGGCCUUGGACAAUAGGUAACGGCAAGCACUACGACAUGCCCGUCUCUGAGGAAGGACGCCGACAGUGGACAUCCAAACAGCUCCUUCUCCACGAGCUGCUCAUUGCGUCCAUCUUACCGUGGUCACUGGUCAAGUUCGGGGACGCCGUGUUUCUCCGACGUCGAUGGCUAUGUGGCUGUCCUGAGGAUGAGCCAAGACGUGGUGAGCUUGAGGUCGACCAGAGUGCCUCGGCGGUCACAGCAACAAGCCUUUCACGGGGACAUGCCUUCAGUUCCAUGUGAGAGAGAGAGAGGGCUUUUCUUUGCAAAGAUGAUCUGCUUUAUUAAAGUUUAAAAAAGUGCUAAAUAUAAGAUGUGCUGAAACAAAUAACCAUAAAUGUCUUGCUUUCAAUGUUUUAUGCUGCCUGAUAUCUAAUAAAAUAACCUUUCCUGAUAUCUAAUAAAAUAACCUUUCAAGGUG